GCGAAGGCGAACGUAUCGCGUCACGUGGCACGUUAUUUCGUACCUGUCCAAAUUGAUCGGUGCCACCGUGAGGUACAUCGCGAUACCUUGACGCGCGUGAUCGUCGUGAGCAACGGCAGCAUUCCGCGAGAUCUCAAAGAUCCGACGGAGAUCUCACGGCCACGCGGCUGAUGCAGGUACGGAGGAUGCGGUUCCGGCGGAUGCUGACGCAAUACCGAAGGAGCCGGUUCGGGCCGAGCAGGGUCGGCUCGAAGAACUGUAGCAGAACGU